CGGUUGUUCGCCUUUGCAUGUGAGAUAGCCUUAUGCGCUGUGGUGGAACUGUCACCGGUGGUUUGACAGCUGGGGUUAUGUUGCCCAUGGUCUGUCUGGGUUGUUCCAGUAUGCAGGUUUCGUCAUUAUAAGGGUAUCUUUUGAUUGUCAUCGAAGCAUUGGUGUGUUCAGGUGUUUGCUUCUUUUUCCAGUUGAAUUGGAAUUGGAAGAAUUGGGUCGUCUACUAUGACAAGUACAAUAAUUAUUUCGUGGUAUUAUUUAAGCAUUAAGAUUUAUAGCUUCUCUGAUUGGAUUGUAAUA